GAGGCACUUCCGCGAACCAACGCUAACUGGCGUUAGCGCAAUGACUGGAAGUCUACAGGUACGCUAAGAUACGGCUUCGCACCUGAGUGCAGUACUGAGAGGACGUUAGUGGUAGUUUCCCGAGCCAAUGCUACCUUCCUUCAUACUGGAAGGCAGAGACAUACAAAUGGAAUCCACAAGUUCAUCUAACUCUGGGCACCAACCUCAAUGCUGUCUGGCGAGACAUGAAUAUCAGACUAUUAUAUGAAAUACCUUCUUGAAGCUGCUGUGAAGUGGAAUAACAUUUUCAGAAGCUACUGGCUAUAUUGGAUAUAUGGCUGUACUGGUUCGAAUCCACCCAAGAUGAUGAACCCUGAAGAUGGGACAAAGGACAUGACAAGGUGGCCCAGAGGAAGACAGCUGUUCUCAACCCUCACUGAGUUUGAUUGAAGACGUCUAGUGAGGGGUGAGAAGAGCUGACAAAUCAAAACUGAGGAUUCUUACGGCGCCCCAUGAGGAACACCCGCUGACUUCUCUCUCCUGGAUGAUCUCCUGCCCAAACUGUCCCGUUGUGUUUCACUGCCUCUAAACACCGUUACACCAAAUAGUUGCCCUAUUUUAUGCACAAAUGUAUUGUUUUUCUUACAUUUAUUGUAGCUUUCAGGGAGAUUUUCACUGUACGUUUUACAGCAUUAUACUGGCACCAGUGUUGUCAGCUUAAUACUGCAAUUUUGCUGACAUAUAUUUGACAGUACUAUUUGCCUUACUGUAAAACAUUACAUCAUCCCCUUACAGAAGGGAUGCUGUAAUAUGUUUUACGGUAAGGAAAAUAGUACUGUCAAAUAUCACAGCAUCACGGCUGUAAAGCAAAAUUACAGUAUUAAGCUGACAACACUGGUGCAAGUAUAAUGCUGUACAUUUACAGGGAAAAGUCUUACUGUCUAUCCCUUUAAUAAGUGCUUAGUAAUUACCUAGUAAUGGAGUUUUUUUUGUUAUUUUCACAUCCUAUUUCCACCUGUCUGACAAUAAAAACUGCUUAACAACAGGUGUCAAAAUGUGUAAUUACAAAAAAAUGAUCAAAACUAUCAGAACAUGUUAAUACAAUGUUGUUACGAGGGUAAUUGCAGCAUUACUUACUAUACAAGUUUAGAGCAAGUUAACGUAAAGUGUGACCCCGCAUCGUAG
ensembl:lncRNA